rnacentral:rRNA from 1 species
UACGGAGGGUGCGAGCGUUAUCCGGAAUUACUGGGUUUAAAGGGUGCGUAGGCGGCCAAGUAAGUCAGGAGUGAAAGUUUGCGGCUCAACCGUAAAAUUGCUUUUGAUACUGCUUAGCUAGAAUCAGGAUGAGGUUAGCGGAAUGUGGCAUGUAGCGGUGAAAUGCAUAGAUAUGCCAUAGAACACCAAUUGAGAAGGCAGCUGGCUAGACCUGUAUUGACGCUGAGGCACGAAAGCGUGGGGAGCGAACAGG